CGGGGGGGGCAAGCGUUGUUCGGAAUUACUGGGCGUAAAGGGCUCGUAGGCGGCCAUCUAAGUCAGACGUGAAAUCCCUCGGCUUAACCGGGGAACUGCGUCUGAUACUGGACGGCUUGAGUUUGGGAGAGGGAUGCGGAAUUCCAGGUGUAGCGGUGAAAUGCGUAGAUAUCUGGAGGAACACCGGUGGCAAAGGCGGCAUCCUGGACCAACACUGACGCUGAGGAGCGAAAGCCAGGGGAGCAAACGGGAUUAGAUACCCCGGUAGUCCUGGCCCUAAACGAUGAAUGCUUGGUGUGGCGGGUAUCGAUCCCUGCCGUGCCGAAGCUAACGCAUUAAGCAUUCCACCUGGGGAGUACGGUCGCAAGGCUG
rnacentral:rRNA from 1 species